AUUGAACGCUGGCGGCAGGCCUAACACAUGCAAGUCGAACGAGUGGCGGACGGGUGAGUAAUGUCUGGGAAACUGCCCGAUGGCGGGGGAUAACUACUGGAACCGGUAGCUAAUACCGCAUACCAUCGGAUGUGCCCAGAUGGGAUUAGCUAGUAGGUGGGGUAACGGCUCACCUAGGCGACGCGCCCUAGCUGGUCUGAGAGGAUGACCAGCCACACUGGAACUGAGACACGGUCCAGACUCCUACGGGAGGCAGCAGGGGGGAAUAUUGCACAAUGGGCGCAAGCCUGAUGCAGCCAUGCCGCGUGUAUGAAGAAGGCCUUCGGGUUGUAAAGUACUUUCAGCGAGGAGGCGUUACGCGCAGAAGAAGCACCGGCUAACGCCGUGCCAGCAGCCGCGGUAAUUC
rnacentral:rRNA from 1 species